AGAAGCCUUAAUCUCCUUUGUCCAGUUUUGAGGGUGAAAUCUGCAAAGAACUUUAGCAGUGAGAAGAAACAGCCGACGUUUGGACUUUCAGACCUCCUGGAAAAAGGCCAAACUUCAAUAAACUCCAGAAUAUUAUUGUGUGAAUUAAAAUAUUCACAUGGUAUUAACCA